rnacentral:rRNA from 1 species
UACAUGGGGGGCAAGCGUUGUUCGGAAUUACUGGGCAUAAAGGGUGCGUAGGCGGUCUGUUAAGUCAGGGGUGAAAUCCCGCGGCCCAACCGUGGAACUGCCAUCGAUACUGGCGGACUUGAGUGCGGGAGGGGUUACCGGAACGAGCAGUGUAGCGGUGAAAUGCGUAGAUAUCUGGAGGAACACCGGUGGCGAAGGCGGCACCCUGGACCAACACUGACACUGAGGAGCGAAAGCCAGGGGAGCAAACGGG